GAAGAGAUGCAGUGCCAGGGAUGGCAGGACGUGGGCACCGCCCCGAGGGCCACCAGCCUUGCUGCCCGCUGGACGUGGGGCCGCCUGCCUGGGCUGGUGUGAGCAGAAAGCAAACUGCUCUCCCGCACAGUUCAUAAACACGACGGCAUAAUAAAGAAUGUUAUCACCAAUGACUUACAGCCCAGCUGCGCCCGGCGAGAUAGGAAGUGGAGGCCAGAGGAGAGCCCAUCUUUACCCGGAGCCCAGUGCCCAGGCCCCACCUGGGCCACAGUGGAAGUCACGGUUCCAGAUGGCCUUUGGCACGCCCACAGUGUCGCCCACCACUCUACCUGGUCCCAGGACGUUCCUCAUCACCCAGGGAAGCUGCUUCCGUUUGACUGUGAGUGUCCCCCCAAGGCCCAUGGCAGCAGGCUUGGUCCCCAGGGUGGCUCCUUAGGGGGUCACUGUGGGCCUAAAGGUAGAGGGGCCUGUGGGCAAUCCUGAGGUCACUAGGGACAUGACCUUGAAGAGGAUCUGGGGACCCCAGCCUCCUCCUCCUCCUCCUUUGCAUCCUGACCAUGAGGUGAGCACUUUGGCCUACGAAACACUCCCCACCAUUGCUCAUGGGCGACCUAACAGAGGCCUCAAAGUCAUGGGCCCACCCCAUCCUAGACUAGAACCUCUACAACCAAGAGCCAAAAUAAACCUUUUCUCUUCAUAAGUUAAUUAUCUCAGAUAUUUUGUUAUAGUGAUGGACCGCUGACUAAUACAGGAACCCUGUGCUUAGCAAGCAGCAGUCUCCCUCCUCCUACUGGUGGGCAACAAUUAAUCUGCCUUCCAUAUCUAUGGAUCUCUCUGUUCUAGAUACUUCAUAUGAAUGAAAUCAUCCAUCUGUGACUAGUUUCUUUCAUUUAGCUUAAUGCUGUUGAGAUUCAUCCACAUUUAAGUCUCCCUACUUUAUUCCUUUUCAUGGCUAAACAGUAUUCCAUUAUUACAUACCAGAUUUGUCUUUCCACUUAUCCAGACAUUGAGGUUCCUUCCAGCUUUUGGCUCUGAUGAAUACUGCGGCUAUGAACACUCAUGGACAAGUAUUUUCUUUUUUCCAAUUCUUUGGUCUAGGUACCAUGGAGUGGAAUUGCCGAGUCACAAAAGUAAUUUUAUAUUUAUAUUUGAGGAACCACUGGACGGCUUUCCAUUUGGGUUGCAGCACUCGACACUCCUACCAGGAAUGUGCAGGGGGUUGAUUCCCCAUGUCCCCGCCGGCACUUGCCACCCUCUGUCUGGGUCUGCCCGUCACAGCAGGUGUGAAGUGGAUCUCCUGGUGGUUUUAAUUUGCAUUCCCUAGUGACCAAGCAAGCCGGGGGUCUUUCCACGUUUGUUGGCCGCGACUCGGAUGUGACCAGGCAUCAUAGUCACAGGAGGGAACCCAUCCAGCCCUUGACUCUCUGAGGCCCACCUAGUCCACUCACAUGAUGUUCUCACCCUGAAUCUGGAAGACGCAAGACUCCGCCAGAAGACACCUGAUAAACAAGUUCAGCAGAGGACAGGAUCCAAG